CCUCCUGCAGCCCUGAAGACCAUGCGGUGUGUCUCAUUACUUUGGGCCUUCACUGUGCCCCCAUUUGGGGGCUGUGGGUCUAGGCACAGAGCCCAACAGUGACCUCCAUUUCCUCAUUUCCCUCCACUCCUGAGCCAAGGAAUCAAACUCAGGACGGCGCACUUGCCAGGCAAGCACUGUGCCUCUGAGUUACCUCCCUGGCCCUCUAUCGCUACUUUUAUCUUCUGUUGUUCUCUGCAUUUGAUGGAUGAGGAAAGUGAGAUUUCGUUAUGCCGGGGUGGUAAACCUGCAACGCGUGGCCUGUAGACCAGCAGCAGCAACUGAUGAUCAAACCCAGAGCCUUCACUGAACUGCAUCCCUAUCCUUGUUUGAUUGAUUAAUUGAUUGAUUGACUUUGAGACAGUCUCACUAUGCAAUGCAGGCUGGCUUUGAACUGUAUGUAGCCUAGGCUGGCCUCAAACUCAUGGUAAUCCUUCUGCCUCAACUUCCUGGGUGCUGGGAUUACAGACCUGUACCACCAGGCCCAGCUCUUGGAUGACUUUCUAGUGCUUCUGAGUUAUGAGUACCUUUUAAUUUUCUAGCUUCGCUGCUGUUUGUCCUGCCUCCAGAAGAAUCCCUGACCAUUCAAAAAGUUCUAGAAAUGAGUACAGUUAGGAAGAAAAGCAGGCAGCAGGAAUUCAGAAGUUUUGCUAAUGCUCUCAAUAAAUCUGUGAAAUUUUAAGAAGAA